rnacentral:lncRNA from 1 species
GGCAGAGGCAAUGUGUAUUAAUAGAGGUCAGUGCAUGAUUUGAAGAAGAGGAGGAAGAAGAAGAAGCAGUAGAAGCAGAAGCAAAAGAAGUGGAAGAUGAAGAGGAAGAUCUGGUAGCAGCAACACUGAUGAACUAUCUCCUAUUUAGCCAAUGGCUUUUAAUAAUUUGUUCUAUCAUUUGAUAGUAGUUAGGAUGAACUGUCAUUUGUUUAACUAGCUGGCACUACAUGUUUAGAUUGUGUGCGGUAAGCUCACCACUAGUUAGAAGUGGUGACAACAACUUAUGCAGGUUGCAACCAAACACCAUGUCAUAUGUGCGCCUAAUGCAAUGGAGGCAAC